AUUGAACGCUGGCGGCAUGCCUAACACAUGCAAGUCGAGCGGACGAACGGGGCUUGCUCCUGUAUUCAGCGGCGGACGGGCGGGUAAUGACCACGAAUCUGCCUGGCAUAGGGGGAUAACGUCCGUUAACGGGCGCUAAUACCGCAUACGUCCUGAUGUAGAAAGUCGUGGAUCUUCGGACCUCGAGCUAUUAGCUGAGCCUAGGCCGUAUUAGCGAGUUGGUGGGGUAAAGGCCUACCAAGGCGACGAACCGUAACUGGUCUGAGAGGAUGAUCAGUCACACUGGAACUGAGACACGGUCCAGACUCCUACGGGAGGCAGCAGUGGGGAAUAUUGCGCAAUGGGCGAAAGCCUGAUCCAGCCAUGCCGCGUGUGUGAAGAAGGUCUUCGGAUUGUAAAGCACUUUAAGUUGGGAGGAAGGACAGUGAGUUAAUCCCUUGCUGUUUUGACGUUACCAAAAGAGUAAGCACCGGCUAACUUCGUG
rnacentral:rRNA from 1 species